GAAGAGCCUUGAUGUUCUCUUCUUCAUCAAAUUGAAAGAGCAACACUUGUAGGUGGGUUCCCUUGGCAAGGGGAGGAAAAGAGCUUCCUCAGAUACUUGACUUUGCAUUAUCGAAUUUUUUUGUUAUUGGGGAUGUUGGUCAUACCGAAGAAGAAUCUUUCAUUGCUAGAGAAUGAAGAAAAAGGGAGACGUUUUGACGAGGGCAACUUCA
rnacentral:lncRNA from 1 species